UGGGAGGACAACAACAGCUGGAUGCGGGAGGACAACAACAGCUGGAUGCGGGAGGACAACAGCUGGAUGCGGGAGGACAACAACAGCUGGAUGCGGGAGGACAACAACAGCUGGACGCAGGCCAUGGGCAGGCAACAGUCGGAUGCAGGCGGGCAACAGUCAGACAUGGGCACACAACAGUCGGACAUGGGCUGACAACAGUUGGAUGCAGGCAGGCAACAGUCAGAGGCUGGCAACAGUCGGACGUGGGCAGGCAACAGUUGGAUGUGGGCUGGCAACAGUCGGAUGCGGGCAGGCAACAGUCAGACAUGGGCACACAACAGUCGGACAUGGGCUGGCAACAGUUGGACAGGGGCAGGCAACAGUCAGAGGCUGACAACAGUCGGACAUGGGCUGGCAACA
rnacentral:lncRNA from 1 species